rnacentral:rRNA from 1 species
AUUGAACGCUGGUGGCAGGCCUAACACAUGCAAGUCGAGCGGCAGCGGGAAAGUAGCUUGCUACUUUUGCCGGCGAGCGGCGGACGGGUGAGUAAUGCCUGGGAAAUUGCCCAGUCGAGGGGGAUAACAGUUGGAAACGACUGCUAAUACCGCAUACGCCCUGCGGGGGAAAGCAGGGGACCUUCGGGCCUUGCGCGAUUGGAUAUGCCCAGGUGGGAUUAGCUAGUUGGUGAGGUAAUGGCUCACCAAGGCGACGAUCCCUAGCUGGUCUGAGAGGAUGAUCAGCCACACUGGAACUGAGACACGGUCCAGACUCCUACGGGAGGCAGCAGUGGGGAAUAUUGCACAAUGGGGGAAACCCUGAUGCAGCCAUGCCGCGUGUGUGAAGAAGGCCUUCGGGUUGUAAAGCACUUUCAGCGAGGAGGAAAGGUUGAUGCCUAAUACGUAUCAACUGUGACGUUACUCGCAGAAGAAGCACCGGCUAACUCCGUGCCAGCCGCCGCAGUAA